rnacentral:piRNA from 1 species
UACCCCUUUGAUGCUUCUGAGCCUGC